rnacentral:rRNA from 1 species
UACGGGAGGCAGCAGUGGGGAAUAUUGCACAAUGGGCGAAAGCCUGAUGCAGCUAUGCCGCGUGUAUGAAGAAGGCCUUAGGGUUGUAAAGUACUUUCAUCGGGGAGGAAAAACAAAACUAAUAAUUUUAUUUCUUGACGUUACCCGAAAAAGAAGCACCGGCUAACUCCGUGCCAGCAGCCGCGGUAAUACGGAGGGUGCUAGCGUUAAUCAGAAUUACUGGGCGUAAAGAGCACGUAGGUGGUUUUUUUAAGUUCAGAUGUGAAAUCCCUGGGCUUAACCUGGAACUGCAUUUUGAAACUGAAAUACUAGAGUAUCGUAGAGGGAGGUAGAAUUCUAGGUGUAGCGGUGAAAUGCGUAGAUAUCUGGAGGAAUACCUGUGGCGAAAGCGGCCUCCUAAACGAAUACUGACACUGAGGUGCGAAAGCGUGGGGAGCAAACAGGGAUUAGAUACC